GUUUAAAGUUUGUGACUCUCUUUUUUAAACAAGGAUUUCACCAGAAACUUUCAGAAGAGACUGUGGAUUGGCCUGACUGACUCAGAGACAGAGGGGACGUGGAAAUGGGUGGAUGGGACUCCACUGACCAAAAGCUACUGGGAUUCUGGGGAGCCUAACGAUGAGAACGGUGAAGACUGUGUGGAAAUACGUUUUUAUAAUUCAGAAAACAGCUGGAAUGAUGUAGGCUGUUCCACUCGACUCAACUGGAUCUGUGAAAGGAAAGACCGUCCAUAACUCUGUAACCAAACCCACCAGACAGAAAACUAAGGACAAUAAAUAUAUUGCUGAUACAAUUUAAAUCUUCACAAAAGCAACCUGAAUAUACUCAUGUGGACACAUCAUUUCCAAGUGAAAAUCAUUUCCAGCUCAGUGUGGGAUAAUCUGAAGCCUGGUUAUUUGCGCUGCAGUAAAGUGACCUGUUAACACAUAGAAACAAAUGUCCAACGAGGUUCACUGCUUUGGCUGAAAAAAAA